rnacentral:rRNA from 1 species
AUUGAACGCUGGCGGCAUGCUUUACACAUGCAAGUCGAACGGCAGCGCGGGCUUCGGCCUGGCGGCGAGUGGCGAACGGGUGAGUAAUACAUCGGAACGUGCCCAGUAGUGGAGGAUAGCUCGGCGAAAGCCGGAUUAAUACCGCAUACGACCUGAGGGUGAAAGCGGGGGAUCUUCGGACCUCGCGCUAUUGGAGCGGCCGAUGGCAGAUUAGCUAGUUGGUGGGGUAAAGGCCUACCAAGGCGACGAUCGGUAGCUGGUCUGAGAGGACGACCAGCCACACUGGAACUGAGACACGGCCCAGACUCCUACGGGAGGCAGCAGUGGGGAAUUUUGGACAAUGGGCGAAAGCCUGAUCCAGCAAUGCCGCGUGUGUGAUGAAGGCCUUCGGGUUGUAAAGCACUUUUGGCGGGAACGAAAAGGACUGUGCCAAUACCACGGUUCGAUGACGGUACCCGCAGAAUAAGCACCGGCUAACUACGUG